AUUCUGGGCAGGCGGCGCGAGCAGAUGCUGGGCGCCGGCGGAGGCAGCGUGCAGGGCUGGCGCUCAAGCAGGCCGCCCGCACCCUGCGGUCCACCCGACCCUGCUCCCUAAUGAGAAGAGAGGAGCCGAACCCAGGCAGCCGCUCCCUGUUGACGCCUUAGGCGUUUCAAAACUAGACUAGCCGGAGCCAAUGGAAUGUCUUGGACCAUCCAUUACUCAAUGGUAUGUCAUAGAAGAUCUUUGGCCAAAUGUCAGACUUUUAUCUUACAUAUCCCAGAGUAGGGAGUAAGUACUAAAGCUUCUAAAAUGCUCUCACUCACACGCUUCAUCAAUGCAAAUGACAGUUUGAAAGACCAAGAGCUUUUGGAUUCUACUUGGACUUCUUUUGAAGGGAGACUUGGGCUCAUCCUGCUGGCCUCUGCCCUCUGCUAACCUCCCAGGACUCCUGACUGGGCCUAUGCUGGAAACCAACCACACAAGAUGAAUGUCUUGCCAAGCUGGAUGUGGAAGCAUAUUUGGUCCUUUGAAGGUUAAUGAUCAAUCCAGACCACAAAUGGAUGACAGUCAAACACUGCCUCGGAAAAGAACACUGAUGCUAAUGUUCAAGAAUAAGCAUAUCUAAAGUUAAAGCUUCAAUGUGGCAGGAGUAGGAGUCAAGCAAAAUUCAUCUGACUCCAAAAUGAAUAUUCUCAAUUUCAAUGCUAAAUACUGUUAUGCUGCUCCUAUUGGAACAUGGGACACAGACCUCACUAAAUGGUGGUGAUCAAGUACCAUCACCAUUCCAUCCCAACCAUUUCUUGGAGACUUCCCUCCCUUCUUCUGAGAACUUCUCCUUGCCAACUCCAUCCACACAGCCACCAUAAGAGCCUCUGUGUUAACACAGCUCUUGGGCCGCAUUGUUGGGUACAGGAAUAGACCUCUCACUCAAGUGAAACCAAAGACCUGGCUCAGAAGACUUGGAAUCCCUACCAGGAGAUCGAAACUCAGCCUGGUAGUUCUACUGAUUUGAGAAAAUAUAAGUCUGGGAGCUGCUGUUGGCAAGCCACAUUUCCCUUCAUGGAGACUGGCAAACAAGGAAAGCUGGUCUGCGGCAGAGAGAGGAACAAGCCUGCAGAGAGGCACAGAGAUGUGAGACCAAGUGUAGUCCUGAGGCCCUGGGAGUCCCUGAUUUCAGUCCUCGGGAGAGUCAGCUGUACUUCUCUCCUUGAAUUAUUAAAUACCCAUGUAAUCCUUA